rnacentral:rRNA from 1 species
CCCCCCACGUGAGGGAUACCGGCGAGAAAUUGCCGACAAGCCCGCAUAGGUUUUUGUCUGGUAGAGCAGUGGGAGCAAAGGUGCUUUUUCGCAAGAGGAAGCGCCGCUGAGGGAUGGGCCUGUGGCCGAUUAGCUAGUUGGUGAGGUAAGAGCUUACCAAGGCGUCGAUCGGUAGCUGGUCUGAGAGGACGAUCAGCCACACUGGGAUUGAGAACGGCCCAG